UAUGGUGUUCCAAGCAGAAUCUA
rnacentral:siRNA from 1 species